AUCACAUAACCUAGGUGCUUGACAUCCUUUCUUCCUGGCUGAAUCUACAGUCUUGGAGAGACAGAGGUAGUGAGAGGUGUUGCAAGUGACUGGCAGAUUCCAAUACAGUAUUGUCAUGUUGCAUCAAGGCCCCUUCACUGCAGAUGGAAACCUGCCUCCCUACAUCAGAACAGCCCCGCUUUAAUCAUCUUAGGACCCAGGUUCAGCAGCCAACCUCACUCCUAAUGACAUUCUGUUAAAUGGACAAAUUCCUCUGAAGCCUUGUACUGCUUUGAAAUCCAAUUUCACAGGAAGCCAAAUCUGAUUGGGGGUCGUCAUGGAAACUACACUGAGGAGCCUUCAAGGAGCUGGAGAGAGGCAAGGCAAAAUGUGAUAGUUGAGUCCUUUACUCUUCUGUCAGAAAUAUCAAAGGGAUCUGGAGAGGUUGGCAGCAGAUGAGUCCCUGGUAUGGUCCUGUUCUGUGUGGCUGGGUACCAUGUGGCUGUCACUGGAGAUACCUCAGCUACUGCCCUCUGGGACUUGACCAUCUGAGAUCAUGUUUACCAGAUCCUUGGAUGCUGACCUAAAAAUGUGAGCUCCCAUUAGAAGGGAUGCUGAGUGGAAUACCAAACAAGGGUGUCUCAGAGCUCACACUUCACCUCAGCCACGCAAUCGACAGGAGAAGCAGCCAGCGAGACCGACAGACUGUCACUGGCAAAAUGAACUGUCACCUCCCA
rnacentral:lncRNA from 1 species